rnacentral:rRNA from 1 species
UACGGAGGGUGCAAACGUUGCUCGGAAUCAUUGGGCGUAAAGCGCACGUAGGCGGCGAAGCAAGUCGGGUGUGAAAGCCCUGGGCUCAACCCAGGAAGUGCAUUCGAAACUAUUUCGCUUGAAUCUCGGAGGGGGUCAGAGAAUUCCCGGUGUAGAGGUGAAAUUCGUAGAUAUCGGGAGGAAUACCAGUGGCGAAGGCGCUGACCUGGACGAAGAUUGACGCUGAGGUGCGACAGCGUGGGGAGCAAACAGG